rnacentral:rRNA from 1 species
CGUGUAGGCGGGUGCGUAAGUCCGGUGUGAAUGCCCUCGGCUCAACCGAGGAAUGCCAUUGGAAACUGCGUGCCUUGAGUGCGGGAGGGGAGAGUGGAACUCUUGGUGGAGCGGUGAAAUGCGUAGAUAUCAAGAGGAACGCCAGUGGCGAAAGCGACUCUCUGGCCCGUUACUGACGCUGAGGCGCGAAAGCCAGGGGAGCGAACAGGAUUAGAUACCCUGGUAGUCC